rnacentral:rRNA from 1 species
AUGCGGGAUAUUGUUGAAUGGCACAUUUGUUAUCUAUACCGUCACUCAUUUUUGACUUUAUUUGCUCCCUAUAUCUAUACUUUCUCAAUAUGGGCGGGCGCAGCAACGCGCGUCUUCACCUCACAGAGCUCCCCCGAUUGUUUCGUUCGUGGUCGUCCGAUCUUAGUAAAAGUCCCACCUCACCUCACCUCAGCCAUUGGAUAUUCACUGCAGGUUUCACCUUGUUAUUCUUUUCACGUGUGUAUGACUGGUGGGCCGGUUUGUUCGUUGGUUUACUCUGUGUUGGCUGGGUAUGAUGGCGGAAGGGUGCGAUUGGCCGUUCCUCGCCGAGAGCCCAUUGGGCACAAGCACAGGAACCCUAGCCCCAACCCACAGCCGCCACAUUUCCUCACUUCCUCAUCCACCCCGGCACCCCAUCGCUCCCCCUAUCGUCACCACGGCCUCCGCCCUAUGAUCUCCGCUGCCUCACGCGCGGUCAUCCUCUCAUCUCUCGUGCCACCACCGCCGACCCCUGCCAAGCCGUUGCGGCGCUCUUCCCAAGCCCUCGCCUCCCGUCUCACCAAGCCCUUGAUGCCGGCCCCGUCAGCAUGCCAAGGUGAUGCAGCGACGGCCGCGCUCGACACUGUCCUUCAUCGGUGGGGGUCCAGCGCCUGCGGGAGUAAGCAGAAGAGAUUGGUGGAGCGGCGGAUGCGGGCGGGCAGGGUCAGCGGUUGGGGAAAGCUCGUCGGCUGGAGCACUAGGAACGAAGGAUCUCAAGGUGGUUCAGGAUUUCCUCUCUUCUAUACGCAGGGUGCUGUAACACCCCAGGAAGAGAGGGAGAGGGAGAGGAUCCAGAUCGCGCUGGGGGAGGAGAGGUUGGCUUGGAGAGGAAGGAGGAGGAGAUGGAUUGCAGAGGGAAGAUUAAGAUUCAGAGUACAAUGCACGCAUACUCACACCCGGCCACAGGCGGCCAAUUUAACCCCACACACGCACGCCACUUGUCUGGCCAGCUGGCUGGGCCCACCAGCCAGCUCUUAG